rnacentral:rRNA from 1 species
CCUACGGGAGGCAGCAGUGGGGAAUAUUGCACAAUGGGGGAAACCCUGAUGCAGCGACGCCGCGUGAGUGAAGAAGUAAUUCGUUAUGUAAAGCUCUAUCAGCAGGGAAGAAAAUGACGGUACCUGAGUAAGAAGCCCCGGCUAACUACGUGCCUGUAGCCGCGGUAAUACGUAGGGGGCAAGCGUUAUCCGGAUUUACUGGGUGUAAAGGGAGCGUAGACGGCAGUGCAAGUCUGGAGUGAAAGGCGGGGGCUCAACCCCCGGACUGCUCAGGAAACUGUACGGCUGGAGUGCAGGAGAGGUAAGUGGAAUUCCUGGUGUAGCGGUGAAAUGCGUAGAUAUUAGGAGGAACACCAGUGGCGAAGGCGGCUUACUGGACUGUAACUGACGUUGAGGCUCGAAGGCGUGGGGAGCGAACAGGAUUAGAUACCCCGGUAGUC